rnacentral:misc_RNA from 1 species
GCAAACUUGGUCAUUUAGAGGAAGUAAAAGUCGUAACAAGGUUUCCGUAGGUGAACCUGCGGAAGGAUCAUUAUUGAAAAAAAUAUUGAUUGAAUUGCUGCUGGCUUUUCAAAGCAUGUGCACAUUCAAUUCAAUUAUUUUAAAUUCCCAUGUGCACGUUUUGUAGAUUUGAAAUUAUUUAAACAUAACAAUUUUUGUUUUGUUUGCUACUUUUAGAAUUGCUUGACAAUUGGCAGGCUCUUCUUGUUUUUCUUAUCUAUGCUUUAAAUAUACUCCAACCAUAGUAAUAGAAUAAUGACAUAGGCUAUUAUGCCUUUAAAAAUAAAUACAACUUUCAACAACGGAUCUCUUGGCUCUCGCAUCGAUGAAGAACGCAGC